GACCGUGCAAAGGUAGCAUAAUCAUUUGCCUUAUAAUUGAAGGCUUGUAUGAAUGGUUUGACAAGAAUAAAGCUGUCUCUUUACAAUUAAAUAAAAUUUUAUUUAUAGGUGAAGAAGCCUAUAUUAAAUUGAAAGACAAGAAGACCCUAUCGAGCUUUAAAUAAAUUAAUAAGCAAACUAACAUAUUUAUAUUAAAUUAGUUAUUAAAAAUUUUGGUUGGGGCGACUAAGGAACAAAUAAAGCUUCCUAAGUAUUAUAAUACUUACUAGUGUUGAUCCAAAAACUUUGAUUAAAGGAAUUAGUUACCGUAGGGAUAACAGCAUUAUCUUUUUUAAGAGCCCAAAUCGAAAAAAAGGUUUGUGACCUCGAUGUUGGACCAGAAUGUCCUGAAGAUGCAGCCGUCUUCAAAGGUUGGUCUGUUCGACCAUUAAAAUUCUACGUGAUCUGAGUUCAGACCGGCGUGAGCCAGGUCAGUUUCUAUCUUCUAUUUUUUACGUGGACCUAGUACGAAAGGAUCGGUCAAUGAUAAUAAUUAUCAUAAUUGAUGAAGUAUAAAGAUUUAUUAAGUAAAUUAGGUUACUAGAAGAAUCAAAUUAGCAAAGAUAAUGCAAUUGACUUAGGAUCAAUAGACAUAGGUGAAACUCCUUUAUUUGAUAAAGUUAUGAAGGUGGCAGAUGAA
rnacentral:rRNA from 1 species